GACGAACGCUGGCGGCGUGCUUAACACAUGCAAGUCGAACGGAAAGGCCCUGCUUUUGUGGGGUGCUCGAGUGGCGAACGGGUGAGUAACACGUGAGUAACCUGCCCUUGACUUUGGGAUAACUUCAGGAAACUGGGGCUAAUACCGGAUAGGAGCUCCUGCUGCAUGGUGGGGGUUGGAAAGUUUCGGCGGUUGGGGAUGGACUCGCGGCUUAUCAGCUUGUUGGUGGGGUAGUGGCUUACCAAGGCUUUGACGGGUAGCCGGCCUGAGAGGGUGACCGGCCACAUUGGGACUGAGAUACGGCCCAGACUCCUACGGGAGGCAGCAGUGGGGAAUAUUGCACAAUGGGCGGAAGCCUGAUGCAGCAACGCCGCGUGCGGGAUGACGGCCUUCGGGUUGCAAACCGCUUUCGCCUGUGACGAAGCGUGAGUGACGGUAAUGGGUAAAGAAGCACCGGCUAACUACGUGCCAGCAGCCGCGGUGAUACGUAGGGUGCGAGCGUUGUCCGGAUUUAUUGGGCGUAAAGGGCUCGUAGGUGGUUGAUCGCGUCGGAAGUGUAAUCUUGGGGCUUAACCCUGAGCGUGCUUUCGAUACGGGUUGACUUGAGGAAGGUAGGGGAGAAUGGAAUUCCUGGUGGAGCGGUGGAAUGCGCAGAUAUCAGGAGGAACACCAGUGGCGAAGGCGGUUCUCUGGGCCUUUCCUGACGCUGAGGAGCGAAAGCGUGGGGAGCGAACAGGCUUAGAUACCCUGGUAGUCCACGCUGUAAACGGUGGGUACUAGGUGUGGGGUCCAUUCCACGGGUUCCGUGCCGUAGCUAACGCUUUAAGUACCCCGCCUGGGGAGUACGGCCGCAAGGCUAAAACUCAAAGGAAUUGACGGGGCCCCGCACAAGCGGCGGAGCAUGCGGAUUAAUUCGAUGCAACGCGUAGAACCUUACCUGGGUUUGACAUGGAUCGGGAGUGCUCAGAGAUGGGUGUGCCUCUUUUGGGGUCGGUUCACAGGUGGUGCAUGGCUGUCGUCAGCUCGUGUCGUGAGAUGUUGGGUUAAGUCCCGCAACGAGCGCAACCCUUGUUCACUGUUGCCAGCACGUUAUGGUGGGGACUCAGUGGAGACCGCCGGGGUCAACUCGGAGGAAGGUGGGGAUGACGUCAAGUCAUCAUGCCCCUUAUGUCCAGGGCUUCACGCAUGCUACAAUGGCUGGUACAGAGAGUGGCGAGCCUGUGAGGGUGAGCGAAUCUCGGAAAGUCGGUCUCAGUUCGGAUUGGGGUCUGCAACUCGACCUCAUGAAGUCGGAGUCGCUAGUAAUCGCAGAUCAGCAACGCUGCGGUGAAUACGUUCCCGGGGCU
rnacentral:rRNA from 1 species